rnacentral:misc_RNA from 1 species
AAGUCGUAACAAGGUUUCCGUAGGUGAACCUGCGGAAGGAUCAUUACAAAAUGUAGAAGUUGAUGUUGUGUGUGUUGUUCUCACCCAUCUUUUUGGGUUGUGAUCACUCACUGACAUCUAACUUUCUUCAACCCACCUGUGCACUAUUGAACUGUAUCUGGCGAGUGUCUCACUGUUUCUGGGGAUUUGUUUUUGUGUACUUUGCUUCAUGCAAAUGCACCCAAACUCCCCGGGAUCAUAGCCUCGCCACCAGUAUCUCCAAACACAAACAUUUUUGACACUGACUGACGAUAACAAACAAAAACAAAUAGAGAAACAACUUUUAACAACGGAUCUCUUGGCUCUU